GGAGAGGUACCGAAGUGGCCGUAACGGGGGCGACUCGAAAUCGUCUUUACGCCCAAAAGGCGUAACGUGGGUUCGAAUCCCACCCUCUCCG
rnacentral:tRNA from 1 species